CUGAAUUAGGACAUUUUAAGAUAAGGUCAUUUAGUGAUAAUCAUAAAUUGUAUUGUGUAAAUUAUAAUGAGGUUUGUAAUGAGGACUGUAGGGCAAUGUAUUGUGAGAAGUGUAAAAUAUGUAAACAUAAAUAUAAUUGUGAUUGUCCAGAAUAUACUGUUAAAAGUGUCAUGUGUAAGCAUAUACAUGCUGUAGCUUUAUUUGAGCAGAGGAGCGAAUAUGUUUCAGGUUUCAUGGAUGAAAUGCAAGAAGAUAAUAAUCUGUAUGUUAAUGAACCUUCAACAAGCAAGGCAGUUUAUGAGGAUGAAGUAAAUCAUUUUCUUGACGAGACUGAAAAUAGAAUGAAUGUGACAAUUGAUUUUGAAAGAAAGCGUGAGAUUUGUCUAGAACAGUUUUGCUCUGAAAUUCGUAAUUGUGAUGGUGGAUUGGGUGAACAUAAUUUAGAAAAAUUUAUGGGUGAUUUUAGAAAUUUUAUGCAGACAGUAAAACAAAAAGAAAUGGUGAUAAGUAAAAAAACAAAAAACCUAAAUAAAUUUAUUUAUAAUAAAAUGUUUAUAACUAUUUCAUUACUGAAUGACAUUGCUUUUGUGAGUGACCUAUUCUGGUAUUAUAUCUAAGUGGUGUUGGCUAUUUGUAUUCAUGUAAUUCGUUGGCUUAUGGUGAAGGAUACUUAUAAAAUAUAUUUUUUUAAUUUUAAUUUUGCCUUUGUUAUAAUUAACUAAUAUAUUAGUGUUUGUUUCAUA